UCCCAUAUACACUUUGUCACUUUUCUCCACAAAUGCUCUGGCUUUAAAAAAAAAAUACUCUUUAAAAUCUCUUUCUUUUGCUUUUCCACAUUUUAGGAGAUCUUGUCACUUAGAGAAAAUGAGAGUGUUAAACACACACAGAUUAUAGCAUCUUUAUGCGUUUGAAUACUACAGCAUGGAAUAACAAAAUUGAACAAGUCAGAAUUUUGUUCUUUUUUCUUAUUUUGGCUUAGUUACGAUUAAUAGGAGUAGCUUGGGGGCAUUUGUAUUCAGAUGUCAGAGGUGAAAUUCUUAGAUUUUCUGGAGACAAACAACUGCGAAAGCAUUUGCCUAAAAUACUUCCAUUAAUCAAGAACGAAAGUUAAGGGAGUGAAGACGAUCAGAUACCGUCGUAAUCUUAACCAUAAACUAUGCCGACUAGGCUUUUGGCAUGAAAGAUUUUAAAAAAAAAGAUUUUUCUCUGAGGAGUUUAAACUCUCAUAUUGCAC
rnacentral:rRNA from 1 species